rnacentral:piRNA from 1 species
UGUGACUAAAGGUGUGUGCCACCACUGCC